CCCGGGCCUUGUACACACCGCCCGUCACACCACGAGAGUUUGUAACACCCGAAGUCGGUGGGGUAACCGCAAGGAGUCCAGCCGCCUAAGGUGGGACAGAUGAUUGGGGUG
rnacentral:rRNA from 1 species